AGAGACGCAAGCCUUCUCAACAGUUGGCGUCAUGUAGGGUAGAGGUUGUGAAAAGGGGUCUCCACCGAAUCUCUUCUCCUCCAGUUAUUUUCUGGGACACUGCACAAUAAAACUUUAUUUGACGGCAGAACAUUCAGAGGCUGUAAGCUUGACACAUGGCAAAAUGCUUCUGCUGUUUCUGAGUCUCGGUUUGUUCACUUCUAAUGUCCAGUCAGAAAAACAAGGGGUUAAUGUAACGUGUGAAAAUCAAUCGGUUGUAGCAGGACAGAACCACAACCUGACAUGUAGAGUGGAUUACAGUGAUGCAUAUCAGAAUAAGACGGGUGAUGUAGGUAACAGUGAGACGGGAUGUAAAACUGAACAGUAUUUCUGGAAGGAUAAAUCAAAAACUCCAAUACGAAAUUGUGAUUGUACAAAAGAUUGUAACACUACGAUAACAACCAACACCUACUUUUGUGAGAUCAAAAAUGUUACCAACGCUGAUGAGGGAAACUAUACUUUUACCAUUAACACAGACUGUGGCAACGGACAUGGCACAUUGAAUGUUUCUGUUACAUUGAGAAAUGAAAAACAAGCGUUUCUGGGAUCGUCAGGUCACCUAUCGUCAGUAUCAUCACUGUUCUGGGUGUUCUACUGUUUCGCAUCUUAAGACUUAAUAGUUCCUUGAGAAACAAUGACAAAGCUACCAGAGAGGCCCUAAACCAGAAGCCUGCAUAACUUUCAAUCUGGAGGAGCUGUGUGUGUUGGUUCUACAAUCCUUGUGGGGACAGAAAAAUCUAAUUUACACAAGUAGUCAAACUCCUAAGUCAAUACUUUGUGGAAGCUAUUUUGGCAUUGAUUACAGCUGUGAGUCUGUCUGGGUACGUCUCUAAGUCAAUACUUUGUAGAAGCUCCUUUUGCAUUGAUUACAGCUGUGAGUCUGUCUGGGUACGUCUCUAAGAGAUUUCCACAUCUGGAUUGUUCAACAUUUCCCCAUUAUUCUUUUCUAAAUUCUUCAAGCUCUACCAAAUUGGCUGUUGAUCAUAGCUAGAGAACCAUUUUCAGAUCUUGCCAUAGAUUGACUGUCUUCUUGGCAACUCUAGUGUAGAUUUGGCCAUGGUUUAUUGUCCAGUUGAAAGGUGAAUUCAUCUCCCAGCAUCUAGUGUAUUGGAUUUGCCUACAAAAUAACACUUUGUAUUCAGGUCAAAAACUGAAUUACUUUGCCAUGUUUUUUGCAGUGCUACAAUAGUGCCCUGUUUCAAACAUGAUGCAUGUUUUGGAAUAUUUUUAUUCUGUACAGGCUUCCUGUUCACUCUGUCAAUUAUUAUUAUUUAUUUACCUUUAUU